rnacentral:lncRNA from 1 species
AUUCUCUCUAGUCCCCCGUUUGUCUAACCUUGAAAUGUUUGACUUGAAGGUUGAUGAAAACAGGAUCAUAUCCUUAAGUGAGUAUAGGUGCUUGGAGAGGAUAAGGAAAUCACCCUGAUCCAAUAGCUGGUAACCUGCGAGGCAUAUCCUAUCUCAUGACUAUGGUAACUUCAAGCAUUACAUCGUCACGCAACUAUUCAAGCCUGGAUGAAAGCAUGAACCAGCAUGGACAAGUAACAAACAGUUUGAAGACCAGGCUGAGUUCAUGACCACACUUGUUGACUCUGGUGACUUCAUAAGAUGGCCCCCGCCUGCCUCGCCUGCCUCUUGUCUGCUGCUCCUUUUGAUUCACCUACAACAAGCUGUUCUCUGUUACCAGAAUAUGCCACGUAUUUUGUUUUACUUCUGGGACUGACUUUACAAUCUGUUCUUUCUUCCUGGAAUGCCCUCCUCUAGCUGGGGAAAACCUACUCAUCUUUUUAGACCAGAUUAAAAGUCACCUUCCCUGUGAUGUUUUCUCGUGGAAAAAAAUAUUUUUUUAAGAGACAGUGGUCUCACUAUGUUGCCUAGGCUGGUCUCAAACUCCUGGGCACAAGUGAUCCUCCCAUCUCAGCCUCCCAGAAUACUAGGAUUAUAGACAUAAGCCAUCACGCCCCCAACCUCAUGAAUUUUAGUUAGGUUAUAGCAGUAUAGUAAAAGUCCCUAUGGAUUGAAUUAUUUGCUCCCUCAUAAGUGUUUUUUCUUUGAAUCCUAAGUACACUUAUUUUAUUGGAUUACAGUUUCUGAGUCAGUAUCCGGGAUAGACUGAAAGUUUCUUGAAGUGAUAAUUGUCUUAUUCAUCUUUAUAUCCCCUGUUCUUGGAACACAUAGUCUGUCCUGAAUAAAUGCCUAUUGAAUUGAAUCAGCUCAAC